rnacentral:rRNA from 1 species
AUUGAACGCUGGCGGCACGCCUAACACAUGCAAGUCGAGCGGUAACAUGGUUAGUAGCAAUACUAACUGAUGACGAGCGGCGGACGGGUGAGGAACACGUAGGAAUCUACCCAAAAGAGGGGGAUAACCAAGGGAAACUUUGGCUAAUACCGCGUAAUCUCGAGAGAGAAAAGCUGCUGCAAGGUAGCGCUUUUGGAGGGGCCUGCGUCCGAUUAGCUAGUUGGUAGGGUAAGAGCCACCAAGGCGAUGAUCGGUAACUGGUCUGAGAGGACGACCAGUCACACUGGGACUGAGACACGGCCCAGACUCCUACGGGAGGCAGCAGUGGGGAAUAUUGGACAAUGGGGGCAACCCUGAUCCAGCGAUGCCGCGUGAGUGAAGAAGGCCU